AGUCGUAACAAGGUCUCCGUUGGUGAACCAGCGGAGGGAUCAUUAAAGAGUUGCAAAACUCCCAAACCAUUGUGAACAUACCUUCAACGUUGCUUCGGCGGGUUGGCCCCGGUCUCCGGGGUCCCCGGCCCUACUCGGGCGCCCGCCGGAGGUAUCUAACUCUUGAACUUUUAUGGCCUCUCUGAGUCUUUGUACUUAAUAAGUCAAAACUUUCAACAACGGAUCUCUUGGUUCUGGCAUCGAUGAAGAACGCAGCGAAAUGCGAUAAGUAAUGUGAAUUGCAGAAUUCAGUGAAUCAUCGAAUCUUUGAACGCACAUUGCGCCCGCCAGUAUUCUGGCGGGCAUGCCUGUUCGAGCGUCAUUUCAACCAUCAAGCCCCCGGCUUGUGUUGGGGACCUGCGGCUGCCGCAGGCCCUGAAAACCAGUGGCGGGCUCGCUAGUCACUCCGAGCGUAGUAAUACAUCUCGCUCAGGGCGUGCUGCGGGUUCCGGCCGUUAAAAAGCCUUAUUUACCCAAGGU
rnacentral:rRNA from 1 species